rnacentral:tRNA from 1 species
AAGGAUUUAAGUUAAAUAAACUUUAAACCUUCAAAGUUUAAUAUAAAGAUUAUAAUCUUUAAGCCUUA